rnacentral:rRNA from 1 species
GAUGAACGCUGGCGGCGUGCUUAACACAUGCAAGUCGAACGAUGAAGCCCAGCUUGCUGGGUGGAUUAGUGGCGAACGGGUGAGUAACACGUGAGCAACCUGCCCCUGACUCUGGGAUAAGCGCUGGAAACGGCGUCUAAUACUGGAUAUGUCCCGUCACCGCAUGGUGUGCGGGUGGAAAGAUUUUUCGGUUGGGGAUGGGCUCGCGGCCUAUCAGCUUGUUGGUGAGGUAAUGGCUCACCAAGGCGUCGACGGGUAGCCGGCCUGAGAGGGUGACCGGCCACACUGGGACUGAGACACGGCCCAGACUCCUACGGGAGGCAGCAGUGGGGAAUAUUGCACAAUGGCGGAAGCCUGAUGCAGCAACGCCGCGUGAGGGAUGACGGCCUUCGGGUUGUAAACCUCUUUUAGCAGGGAAGAAGCGAAAGUGACGGUACCUGCAGAAAAAGCACCGGCUAACUACGUG